GUAUUUCCACCCCAACACCUCACUGCAAUCUGCACAGGAGAUAUCAGCCACGGUGUGCAGACCAGUCAUUAGAUGUCUGUCCUCUUUGGCCCUGACAGUGAUGUUCAUGGCGUGGGAGAACAGAAAGGCUCGUCCGUGUCUUCCAUGGUACAUAGAAAUCACUCAUGAUGUUGCAUGACAAGAUACAAACCUCACAAGUUGCCCCGAGACAAUGUCAGAAAUACUUAUUCAACCAAAUGAAUGCCAUGGUGACAAAUGAGCUUCAAUUAGAAUUUGCAAAUUCAAGAAGUAUAUAUUCAUGCAACUCAUUGCUACAUCGAAAUGCAUCAUGCAAAGAUCAAAAAGGGCAAUGGCGACAUCAUACAACUCUCCAGCUUAGUUAUAUAUCAAAAUGCAUCAUACAAAAGACCUAAGAAGCUGAUGGUGGCAUAAUACAACUCUGCAGCUUAGUUCUACAUCAAAAUGCAUCAUAUAGAGACUUUAACAAAAGUAACAAGCCGCGUGCAACAUGACACAACUUAGCUCUAUGUCAAAAUGCAUCAUACGAAGACCAAAAAGCUGAUGGCGACAUCAUACAUCUCUGCAACAAAGUUCAUCAAAAUGCAUCACAUAAAGACUAGAAAAGCUGAGGAUGACAUGAUACAGUUCUGCAACUUAGUUCUACAUCAUUAUGCAUCAUACGAAGAUUAAAAUGAGCUGAUGGCUACAUCAAAAUGCAUCACACGAGGACUAAAAAAAGCUGCUAGCAGAGAUGAUUCCAGCACAAACAAUAUGCCUAAACAUAUACAAGGGGACAUGUACACAACAGAUCAAAUGUUUCACCUGAAAUGCCUUGGAGAUUAUAUCGUCAUGAAGGCAAACAUGAUUCUGGCAUUUGUAGCAGCUGUAGAGACGAGGGCCGACUAAUUCGUCCAUUCAACUAUAGAAUUUCUAUGCCGAUAAGAACUCACUGAUUCCAAAAACCAUAAUUCAGAAUUCCAAAAAAUGAACAGAAAAAAAAAGGUUGCAAAUAUCAAGAACAAUAUGUAAUUGAAUCAAGAACAACGAAAACCCCACCACAGAAAUAACACACUCAAAUUCUUUACCCCCAUAGCAAAAUUAAAGAGAAAUAUGCAUCAAAACACAUGAAUUCCCGUCACAAAAUUAAGCAAGAAGACGUCAGAUUCGAAUACAAACCACAUAAACAUAUCGAUAAAUUUGAAAUCUUUAUUUCAAACAGAACAAUCAAUGAGGUAAAAGCAUAAUACAAC
rnacentral:lncRNA from 1 species